ACCGUCGUUCCUAGAAAGAAGAUCGAGAGCAAACCACCAUUUCCGGUUGGGGGCAGCGUGUGUGUAAAGGCGACAGGUUCACGUGGGCAGAGUGUGAAGUACGAUGGCAAGAUACUGUCCAAAGGAAGCAAGGCAGCCAUGGAGAGUACACUAGCUCGCCUGGUUGAAAACUCUACAACUAAUGUGAGCCAGCUAGAAAUGAUUCAGCGAGAGGCAGCUACUGAUUGUGUAGACAAAGAGAGUAUAUCUGGCAAAGAACCUCGUCAACGUCAUUCAAAAAAGAAAUGUGCGAAAAGGAAUGCUGAAGAGGAGUCUGAGCGUCUGCCUUCAUCAUAGAGCCAGUUAUGGGACAGAUAUACGGACACAUUGAUACCAAGUAAGAAUUACUGUUCCCCUGAAUAUGUAAUAAAUAUAUUGUCUUUUCUGUAUGAAUGUUGUACUAGAAACCAUUACACUUGAUAUAACUUGGGUUUUUAAUUAGUAAUAAAGAGAGUGACCACCAAAACAAUUGACUAAUUUUCAAAAUCCUUUUGUCUGCUUGUCUGGUUUAUUGUUUUAUGAAAUACAUAUUGGUACGUUUAAUAGACAAAUUUGAAUGUACUGAUGUUGUUAAUUUCUAUUAUGCAUGUUAUGAAAACUGGUUGGUUGUUGUAGAAAACAAAGAGAAGGAUAGGCAGCGUCAUUUUGAUGAGUACAGGUGCUUGUCACCAGAUUAUGAAGGUGAUUAGAUUGCUCACGUCAAAGAAGGAAAUUUUGCAAUAAACCUGUGUUUUGUAUAAGGAAAAAAUGAUUCUAGCAGUUCCACAAGGUCUCCGAGUCCUGGUUUGGAGUCUCAGUCAAUUUUGAGCAGUUAGUUUAGUGGUACAAAUAAAGCAAAUAGGAAAGGGACAAAGCGGAGCCACACUGUUGCCACUGGAGGAUCCUGAUUUUGGUCCAGUGACGUCAGCGAACACUGCAAGAGCUCUUGCAUUUAACAGCCACGCUCCUGUUGAAGAUCAUAAUACAUCUACUCCUGUUGCUAAAGCAACUAAGAACACGAGCAAGGAUUAUGUUGAGAGUUCGAGGUUGACAAAGACAUCCUGUGACUGUUUCUGCAAAGACUUGAAACCAUUUCUAAGUGGAAUUGAGGAGACUCUGAAGAGAAUAGAGUCGAAAGUCGAUGCCAUUUCAUGUCCAACCUGAAUCGGACGAGGACAUGUAUAGAGUAAAGAGCUAUCGACCUAUUAAGAAAGAGGCAAAACUUGAAGUUUCUUCUCCGGUUAUCUACAAUGGCAUUGACUUGACGGGUAUCUAUGCUAGCAAGACUUCACCACAGAAGUACGCUAGGAAAGUUGUAGGCCAACUUUUCUCAAAGAAAGAAUUAAGCCAAAGCAUAUUCAGGAAAGUUGGCCCAACUUCACGGAAAGAGCUUUCUCCGACUUGGUGUAAUAUUGUUACAAACUGUCUUGAAAAGCUUUACUCCAAGGAGAUGCUGGAGAGGAACGAGAUGGUCAUACGAGAAAGUCUCAAUCAGAAGUGUAGAGAGGCAAGAGUAGCUGUCAAAUUGAAAUCUGAGUCAGACGGACUAGCAGCAAUAGGACACAGUCUAUGCAACUCAGGGGAGGAUGAUUAGAAGUAGAGACUAGAGUAUUGCUAUACUUAGAAGAUUAUUGUGUUGGAGAGUUUGAUGAAGAGUAGAAGGUCUACAUAUACAUGUCAGUACU